GAUGAACGCUGGCGGCGUGCUUAACACAUGCAAGUCGAACGGGAUCCCAGGGGUGCUUGCACUUUUUGGUGAGAGUGGCGGACGGGUGAGUCACACGUGAGUAACCUGUCCUUUUCUUUUGACUUAGCGUACGAAAGGGUGUUUAAUACCUUAUGUUCUGUCUGCAUCGCAUGGGGUGGGUGGGUAAGGCUUUGGCGGGUUUUGGGUGGGCUCGCGGUCUAUCAGCUUGUGGGUGGGGUGAUGGCGUAUCAAGGCUUUGACGGGUAGCCGGGCUGAGAGGGUGGUCGGUCACAUUGGGACUGAGAUACGGCCCAGACUCCUGCGGGAGGCAGCAGUGGGGGAUAGUGCACAAUGGGCGAAAGCCGGAUGCAGCGACGCCGCGUGGGGGAUGAAGGCCUGCGGGUUGUAAACUUCUUUUGCUCUGAACAAGGCAUGCCAGUGGGUGUGUUGAGGGUAGGGGUUGAUUAGCGCCGGCUAACUACGUG
rnacentral:rRNA from 1 species